rnacentral:snRNA from 1 species
GACUGAACGCCUCUAAGUCA